rnacentral:lncRNA from 1 species
GCAGUGUCCCUGUCAUCGCUUGCUAUGUGACUGACAGGCGUCUGUCCUAUCAAUAGACCACUAGAAGAUACAUUUAGUUCUUCUAGCGGGAUAAGGCUAUACACACAUUUCUGACUAGCAAAUGUAAUAUUUUUUAAAUGAAAAUAAGCCUAGUUAAUGAAUGAAGUGGAAAAAGUAACUGGCUAACAAUGAGGCUGUUCUCGGCUGUUUAUUUAACACUGUAUUGUCUUCCCCUAGUUUGAAGACUGAAAUGAGAGAAAAGUAGGUCGAGUCUGUAGGGAGAGCAGGCCUUUCAGAGAGUAAGGUCGGUCGAGUCUGUGGGGAGAGCAGGCCUUUCAGAGAGUAAGGUCGGUCGAGUCUGUGGGGAGAGCAGGCCUUUCAGAGAGUAAGGUAGGUCGAGUCUGUGGGGAGAGCAGGCCUUUCAGAGAGUAAGGUCGGUCGAGUCUGUGGGGAGAGCAGGCCUUUCAGAGAGUAAGGUUGGUCGAGUCUAUGGGGAGAGCAGGCCUUUCAGAGAGUAAGGUCGGUCGAGUCUAUGGGGAGAGCAGGCCUUUCAGAGAGUAAGGUCGGUCGAGUCUAUGGGGAGAGCAGGCCUUUCAGAGAGUAAGGUCGGUCGAGUCUGUGUGGAGAGCAGGCCAUUCAGAGAGUAAGGUUGGUCGAGUCUGUUUGGAGAGCAGGCCUUUCAGAGAGUAAGGUAGAUCGAGUCCAUGGGGAGAGCAGGCCUUUCAGAGAGAGAGUGAAGAAGAUGAAGAUGACGGGAGUAGAGUGAUGAAGGGUACCGAGUCACAGCAAACCAAUGCCUGGGAACACAAACACACACACACCUCACUCACCCAGGUUGUGCUCGGUGAACAACGGCAGAUUGACGCUCGAGUUGAAGCUCCCUGGAGUAGAAAAGAUGCAAUAACCACAUCCACUUUAAUACAAUAGGUUAGCAAGCUUGAAAUAAACAAAUAUCACACUUGUAUUCAUUUGAAAUGGAGAGCAGAGAAGAAAGAAAGGGUGGUGACUAAUACAGUAGGUCCUGUACUGUGACUAAUACAGUAGGUCCUGUACUGUGACUAAUACAGUAGGUCCUGUACUGUGACUAAUACAGUAGGUCCUGUACUGUGUGAUGUGACUAAUACAGUAGGUCCUGUACUGUGUGAUGUGACUAAUACAGUAGGUCCUGUACUGUGUUAUGUGACUAAUACAGUAGGUCCUGUACUGUGACUAAUACAGUAGGUCCUGUACUGUGACUAAUACAGUAGGUCCUGUACUGUGUAAUGUGACUAAUACAGUAUGUCCUGUACUGUGUACUGUGACUAAUACAUUAGGUCCUGUACUGUGACUAAUACAGUAGGUCAUGUGCUGUGUGCUGUGACUAAUACAGUAGGUCCUGUACUGUGUACUGUGACUAAUACAGUAGGUCCUGUACUGUGACUAAUACAGUAGGUCCUGUACUGUGACUAAUACAGUAGGUCCUGUACUGUGUAAUGUGACUAAUACAGUAGGUCCUGUACUGUGUGAUGUGACUAAUACAGUAGGUCCUGUACUGUGUAAUGUGACUAAUACAGUAGGUCCUGUACUGUGACUAAUACAGUAGGUUCUGUACUGUGUGAUGUGACUGUAGAGAUUUUGUGACCAUAGUACAGUAGGUCCUAGUGGUAGGAAUGUAUGACUCACUCUUCCUGGGGUACUCAGGUAGAGGAUCCACCUGGUAGGCACUACGGAGGAAGCUGGGCUUGGGUCUCUCCUUUUCCUCAGCAGCCUUUACCCUGACCUCCCCCUCCCUCUCGGGGACUGGAGCAUGAAGGAGCACCUCCUGGUCUGAUUCUCCCAGAUACCCUUUACUCCCAUCCACCACUUGCCUCUCCUGGGUUUCCGCGUCUCUCUUGUUCCCCUCCUCUUCAGGCUCCUGGUCCAAAUCCUCCAUCCUCUCCUCCUCUUCCUCUUCUUCCCGGUGUCCGGCGGUGUUGCUACUCCCGUCACUACCAGUCCCAGACGUGUGCGCCACGCUCUCCUCGUCCGAGAUGAUGUCAUCAAAGAACUGGUCUUCAUCGAGGACGUCAGAGGGAGUGGGAGGGAUCAGGUUGAUGACAGGUGGGGUGAGGAGGCUACCUGUACCUGAGCCUCCAGGUGUGUCAAACAGAAUUGAGUCCUCCUCCUCCGCUACCUCCACCUCCUUCUCCUGCUCCUCCAUUGCCUCAUCCUGCUCCCCUUCGCCUGUUAUGUUUCUCCUCUGGUUUGCCCCAGGCUCCUCCUCGCUGGCUGGGCUUCUCCUCUUUGUCUGCUUUCCACCCGGCUGGUCUCCUCCCGGCUGGUCUCCUCCCAGCUGGAGAGGAAGGGAGGACAGAGGCUUCAGCAUUCUUUUCUUCUUCAGUGCCCUGCGGACGGCCGACACAGAGUUGGAAGAUGGACUAAAAGUACUGAACAUCUGGACUGGUGCAACCUCCUCUUUGGUCAGGGUGAAGCUAGGGUUGGCCAGCCCAAGAUCCUCCACCGUGAUGUGGAUAGCACUGGCCUCUCCCUCCCCUGAGAUCCCCUGGUCGUCCCCAAGACAAGUCCACUCUAGCUGUGUGUCCCUCUCCCCGCUCUGCCCUCUCUGGCUCUGGCCUGGUAUUAGUUCUUUGUCCUCUCCUCCCACACAGGAGCAGCAGCAGCACAGCAGCCUGCAGGAGAGACCGUGUAUGUUCUUCCUCCACAGACACAGACGAUGCAUUCGAGGACCAUGCAACCUCUCUGCCUCCAUCUCUGCAGCCAUGUCUUCCCAAUCCCAGAAAAUAAUGGAUAAAUCCAGCACACUGGUGAUCUUGAUGUUUCUGAAAAUGCUGUUGGUUUUAUUUUACCAGCAUUUCCCAACCGUGUCUGUCAUGCGUUCCCUGCCAAUUCAAUGCACAUCCUCGGGCAGUCUCAGACAAUCUCAGACCACAACGAUGCCAUUCUUCAGUUUCAUCUGAUAAGAUAACUUCUCUGACAUGUCAGAUGACUCUGCACAUCCUCGGGCAGUCUCAGACAAUCUCAGACCACAAGGAGGCAAUUCUUCAGUUUCAUCUGAUAAGACAAUUUCUCUGACACGUCAGAUCACUCUGCACUCCACUUACCUCAGACAGCCCCCCCCAAAAAAAAAAAAACAAGGAGGCUGGUAUAGUUGCUAAACUAGUGUCUUCCGAAAUCUGUCUUGUCAUGAGCUUGGCAAGCAAGACUAUUGGUAAACACGGUCUUGUUUUCUAUCUGAUAAGCCUUCGUCAAUAGUCUCACGGAAGGAUGAACAGCGAACAGCCACCCACACCUCUGCACUGUACUCCUGCUCUUACCCUUUGAUAGGUUCUGGAGGCUUCGCACGCCAUGCAAAUAUAUCUUUCUGCAGUCUGUGUUGCUUAGCAAAGCAGAGAGUACUAACUUAUUCAUGUCGCUGCUCUGGGUCGUCAGAGGAACACUUCAAAUGAACAUCAGUUUUAAUUAAAAAAAAAGGCCUUUCG